rnacentral:tRNA from 1 species
GGCUUUGAAGUAUAUAUUACGUUGAAUUGCAAAUUCAAAAAAGUAGCUUAAGUGCUGCCGAGGCUU